CUUUAAGAGUACAAAUUUGUCUGAGACAAAUACUAGUUUAAACCCGUUCUUACUUAGUAGAGAACCAGAUACCAAGUUUUUCCUAAUAUCGGGCACAUGAAAAACGUCAUUCGAAGUGAGCUCUUUUCCACUUGUCAUUUUUAGCACUAUCUUCCCAUGUCCUUCUACCUUGGAAGAUGACGAGUUUCCCAUGUAGAAAUGUUCAUCAUGAUCCAUCGCUUUGUACGUAGAGAACAUCCCGCGAUUUGAGCAUAUGUGACGAGUAGCUCCAGUAUCCACCCACCACUCCUUAGUGUUUCCAGCUAAGUUACAUUCACAGACAACCGCAGAAAGAUUCAUGUCUUGUACCUUAUCAAUGAGGUUCUCAUGUUCUGUUACAUUGGUCUGGUGAGUUUUUUCCUUCACAUUCUUUGGCUUUCGACAAUUUUUGGAUUGAUGUCCUGCCUUGCCACAAUUGUAAUAGUUGCCUUUAAACUUUUUAACAGUUUUUGAAGAAUCAGUUUGUCCUUCACCAUUGUGCUUCCUCUUUUUGCUAGUCUUGAAGCCUCCUUCUACAAUGUUGAUUUUUGAUUCCAUCGAAUGAGAUGCACCAUUCCUUUUUUCAGUUUUGCGAUUUUCUUCUUCUAUUCUCAAUCGGACAAUGAUAUCUUCAAGUUUCAUUUCCUUCCGCUUGUGCUUUAGGUAAUUCUUGAAAUCCUUCCAUGAAGGUGGUAAUUUUUCAAUCAGUGCAGGGACUUGAAAAGAUUCACUUAGUUUCAUUCCUUCGGCAUGGAUGUCGCUAAGUAUGAUUUGAAGUUCUUGAACUUGGGAUAUGACAGUCUUGCUGUCAACCAUUUUAUAGUCCGAAAAUCGACCGACAAUAAAUUUCUUCGUGCCGGCAUUUUCGGUUUUUACUUGGUGUCUAAAGAUUUCCAUAGUUCUUUUGCGGACUUCAUAUUGCAGUACACAUUAUAUAAUGUGUUGUCCAAUCCAUUAAGUACAUAAUUUCUGCACAGAAAAUCAGAAUGCUUCCAUGCAUCAAUUGCAGCCAAUUUUUCAGCAUCACUGUCUUGCUCGGUAUAUGAAGGUGCAUCUUUUUUGAGAAAUUUAGUCAGAUUUAAUGUUGUCAGAUAAAAAAAUAUUUUUUGUUGCCAACGCUUGAAAUUUGACCCAUUAAAUUUUUCUGAUUUUUCCCCGUUCGUAUUCGGGAGUGUGGUACCAGAAGUUGUCAUUUCUGAAACACAAUCAGAAGAUCAACUGUAAAAAGGAGUAGAAACAGAAACAGAAUAAUAGCGAAGUUCGUUUUAAGAUUGUUGUUUCUAGAGUUUGAAAUUACUCCUUCGAAAACAAUCCGACAAAAUCACCUGAAUAUAAGAAAUGAUCAACAGGAUCCAAAAUGUAAUUCGAACCCAUCGACUUCACAAUGUUUCAUUAAAAUGAAUUUGCUGCCUUCAAUGGUGCUAAAGGCAUCCAGCAAUCGUUUCCCAGGAUAGAACGAAUUUUCGUCUCCUACAGAAGCAGUACAACAAUCUGCAGGAGUUACAACGAACUCAACGAAUUGUAUUUGACUUUGAAACAAUAUCAGAACGAGAGAGAGGAGAAUAAGAUUCAAAGCACAGAAAGUUUCCAAUGAAAAAAAAAAUUUAAUUUCAUAAUGUACCCAAAAAUUUGAUUAUUUAGUCCAAAAAAGUUAAUAUAGUACAAAGGUCCUCCCGCACCCGCGCACGUGCUGGACGGACGACGGUGCGCGCAUGUGUUUAUGACCGAACUCAAUAGGAUAUAGGUCUUCCCCCUUCCAAAAACUAUUGGUACCCUUUGGUGCCCAAACCCAAUUCUCAAACUUCCACCUUAUAAACCACACCAAAGUUUCCUAACUUUCCUAUGUGGGAUAAGUGUUUGAAAAAUCAAAU
rnacentral:lncRNA from 1 species